rnacentral:rRNA from 1 species
UACAGAGGUCCCGAGCGUUGUUCGGAUUCAUUGGGCGUAAAGGGUGCGUAGGCGGCGGGGCAAGUCUGAUGUGAAAUCCCGGGGCUCAACCCCGGAACUGCAUUGGAUACUGCCUUGCUUGAGUACUGGAGAGGGAACUGGAAUUUACGGUGUAGCAGUGAAAUGCGUAGAUAUCGUAAGGAAGACCAGUGGCGAAGGCGAGUCUCUGGACAGUUGCUGACACUGAGGCACGAAGGCUAGGGGAGCAAACGGG